rnacentral:lncRNA from 1 species
GAUAAAUGUUUUAUUUUGUCGUGUUUGGUAUGCAGCAUCAUUUUGAUUUUUAUUAGAUUAGUCUUUUCUUUUGACUUCUUUUCUUGCAGGCUCUUUCUGAAGGCAACAUUAUAAGGCUUCAAAAAUAGCACAGUGAGCCAAGAGAAACUGCAAAGACACCGCUGUGGGAUGGUGAUUUGGAUAUAAAAUUCUCUGAGCCAGGGUAUGAUAAGCUGUUGGACCAUCUUAGACAACCAUCUAGACCCUGGAGCCAUUGUAGUUUGGAUUCCCAUGACCUCAGGUGCAUCACUGAUGAAAGAAACAAGGAGAUUCCUGAGGGGACCAGACAGAACAAAGGAUGUUUCAGAGCUACCUUUAUGUAUUAAAUACCAAGAACAAGAUGGGAUGACUUACACCUUAGAGAGACUCUUGUGGUCAUGUGACAUCGAAAAUUGGCUAGAUCUGGCAGUUAAAUGAGUUUGAUUGAAAAAAAUUAGAUAGAACUCUUUUUUCCCCUCACUACAUCAGCUGCCAAAGGCUGGGUGCUCUAAACACUCC